CUCGUGGAAUGCUUGGGAUGCAAGUGAGGUUUCUCAAUUGGAGAAAUGAAUUUCUAUUUCCCCCAACGUUGCAACUACGACUGUUAGUGGUACCUGGAGGACACAGAAAUGCAACAUUUCGAUUUUAGAGGCUGACGUGCUUCUUGCUAAUCAGGGCCUGCAGCUACUAGUAGGCCUUGGACCUCUCAAAC
rnacentral:lncRNA from 1 species